rnacentral:rRNA from 1 species
AUUGAACGCUGGCGGCAGGCCUAACACAUGCAAGUAGAACGAGUGGCGGACGGGUGAGUAAUGUCUGGGAAACUGCCUGAUGGAGGGGGAUAACUACUGGAAAAGGUAGCUAAUACCGCAUACCAUCAGAUGUGCCCCGAUGGGAUUAGCUAGUUGGUGGGGUAACGGCUCACCAAGGCGACGAUCCCUAGCUGGUCUGAGCGGAUGACCAGCCAGACUGUAACUUAGACACGGUCCAGACUCAUACGGUAGUGAGCGGUGGGGAAGAUUGCACAAUGGGCGCAAGCCUGAUGCAGCCAUGCCGCGUGUAUUAAGAAGGCCUUCGGGUUGUAAAGUACUUGCAGCGGGGAGGCGUUACCCGCAGAAGAAGCACCGGCUAACUCCGGGCCAGCAGCCGCGGUAAUAC